rnacentral:tRNA from 4 species
GCCCAGAUAGCUCAGCGGCAGAGCGCGUUCUUGGUAAGAACGAGGUCGGCGGUUCAAUCCCGCCUCUGGGCUCCA